AGCUCGUAGGCGGUUUGUCGCGUUCUGCUGUGAAAGCCCGGGGCUCAACCCCGGGUCUGCAGUGGGUACGGGCAGACUGGAGUGCAGUAGGGGAGACUGGAAUUCCUGGUGUAGCGGUGAAAUGCGCAGAUAUCAGGAGGAACACCGAUGGCGAAGGCAGGUCUCUGGGCUGUUACUGACGCUGAGGAGCGAAAGCAUGGGGAGCGAACAGGAUUAGAUACCCUGGUAGUCCAUGCCGUAAACGUUGGGCACUAGGUGUGGGGGGCAUUCCACGUUCUCCGCGCCGUAGCUAACGCAUUAAGUGCCCCGCCUGGGGAGUACGGCCGCAAGGCUAAAACUCAAAGGAAUUGACGGGGGCCCGCACAAGCGGCGGAGCAUGCGGAUUAAUUCGAUGCAACGCGAAGAACCUUACCAAGGCUUGACAUCCGCCGGACCGCGCCAGAGAUGGUGUUUCCCUUCGGGGUCGGUGGACAGGUGGUGCAUGGUUGUCGUCAGCUCGUGUCGUGAGAUGUUGGGUUAAGUCCCGCAACGAGCGCAACCCUCGUUCCAUGUUGCCAGCGGGUUAUGCCGGGGACUCAUGGGAGACUGCCGGGGUCAACUCGGAGGAAGGUGGGGAUGACGUCAAAUCAUCAUGCCCCUUAUGUCUUGGGCUUCACGCAUGCUACAAUGGCCGGUACAAAGGGUUGCGAUGUCGUGAGGCGGAGCUAAUCCCAAAAAGCCGGUCUCAGUUCGGAUUGAGGUCUGCAACUCGACCUCAUGAAGUCGGAGUCGCUAGUAAUCGCAGAUCAGCAACGCUGCGGUGAAUACGUUCCCGGGUCUUGUACACACCGCCCGUCAGUCACGAAGU
rnacentral:rRNA from 1 species